AUGGCGGCUCGCCCGAGGCGUGGGCCCAACGAGUACGUCUCCUACCGCCAGCCCGGCGCGAGCGAGGCGUCGAUGCAUCAUCAUCCUGGCGACGAGCGCUUCCCCGGCGGGCCGAGCCACGGCGAAAUCCAGGACGUCGACGAGCCGGAGGCGCCGGCGCAACCGCCCGGCGGCGGGCGCGGGCCCUACUACAUGGCGCCGUGGCAGAGGCGGGGCCGCCCGCCGCCGCAGCCGCUGCCGCCGGUGGCGGUCGACGAGCCGCGGUACCGGUACGAGCGCGUCCCGGGAGAGCAGAGGAUGAGGAUCCCGGGGCCGGUCCAGGCGCCGCCGAUGGGCCCGCGCCCGACUGGCAACGGCGGCUACAGGACCAACACCACGAGGGUCGAGCGCGUCACCACGAUCAAGCAAGACGACGGCGGCGGGCCUUACCCAGCGGGCGCGCCGGUGCCGGGCAACGGGAGCCCGCAGCAGCAGCAGCACCACGAUCACCAGGGGUCGACGUCGCACACGCCGCCGGGACGUCCCCGCAGGACGCCGGGGAGGAGGACUCCGGCAGGCUCCCCGGGCUAUCUCUCGCCGGACCGCGGCAGGGAGAAGCGCAGGCAGCUGCCGGCCUUCUGCUUCACCCUCUGCUGCAUCCUGUUCUGGCUGGCGGUGGUCAUCGUCGGCGUGGCCGUGCUCACCGUGUACCUUUACUACCGCCCGCAGCCGCCGAAGCUCCGGGUGACCGACGCGUCCUUGAACGCCGGGUACGUGGACGAGCUGACCGUCCCCGGCGGCCCGGCCCGCGGCCUCGCGCUCAACGCCGACCUCACCGUGCUGACCGCUAUCGCGAGCCCCAACACCAAGAUGAAGAUGGUCCUCUGGUACAUGCAGCUGGACCUGUACUUCGAGGGCCACAAGAUCGGCACUUCGACGGUGCUGCCGGCGCCGCUGUUCGAGGACCCCCGCACCUACGCGCUCCGGACCGUGGACUUCGUCGUCAGCGAGGCGCCGCUGUCGCGGGAGGACGCCAUUGCGUGGAGGAACGGGACGGUGGCGGGCGGGCCCGUGAAGCUCAAGGUCGUCGGGAAGUUCCACACGCAGCUCAACUUCGGGCGGUGGCUGCCGUACAAGUACUGGGUGUACCCGCGCUGCACCAUCUGGAUGGACCCGCCGCCCACCGGCAAGCUGGUGCGGGCACGCUGCUGA
rnacentral:rRNA from 1 species